AAACGUGCAGCAGAGUAUGAAAACAUGUCGCUCCUGGGACGAGUCUGGCUACUUCCUUAACGUUUGCUCUUGUCAAGGGCAUACUCUAGAAACUGGGAUGACCUGAGGCCAGGAGGGAAGUGUUGGAAGACUGUUCUGUUGACAUGAGGACAAGAGGAAGUGCCACACCUCGGUCAGUGGCACAGGACAGUCAAAUCGUUAUGAAAUUGUAAACCGUCGUCACCGCCCAAAGUCAGGUGGAAUGAAGGGAUUGGAGAGGACUGGAAGUGGAACAGAAGGGUAUCUGAGUAAAGCCGGAGAUAUUUGCAUGCCUCCCAACGCUUCAGAGCCUCCAAUUAGCAUUGGAGGCCCUGCUGCCGGCUGCAGGACCUAACUGUGGCUGGGCCAGUGGUGGCAUUCCUGGGCCUGAGGAGGAUUAACACACUCUUACUCUGGAUGGGGAUGUGCCAGCACUAUGACCUGAUCAUGACCCUGUACCCAAUACCCAUAAGGUCAACUUUUCUCUGUAACAGCCAAGUGAAGGCUACAGCUCUCAAUGUGUUAAUAUGUCACCUUCAGAUCAAUUUGCAACCACUAAUAAAACUAACACUAAAAUCAGCUAAAAUCAAUUUGUACUCCUUUUUAGAAUAAUUUAAUAAAAAUAGGUUGUCCUGUUUUUUCUAC